UCUAUGCGUGGAUUUUGCUGCAGUCGAUGCAUUUGAUAUUUAAAACGUUGUCAUUCAGGAAGAGGAGGAGAAAUGACUAUUUCUCUGGCAAUGCUGGGGUGGCUCCUGAGAUGGCACUGUUUCCAUUUCCACCUCCUACUCUUGGCAGAUCUGUGCAUGUGAGUGUGUGUGUGCGUGCGGGUGAGUGUGUGUGCGUGUGAGCGUAUGACUUGUCUCUGAUUGGCUGGGCUCACCCUGUUUCCUACAGAUGCUUGAACAUAUAAGGUAGCAAAGCAGAUUCUUUAUCUUUUGAGCCCUUGUCAGUAUUACAGACCCAAGAACGAGUUCUCAGUGGCUCUAAGUGACAGAAGGAAUGGACAAAUCCUUGAGUUUGCUCAUCCUUUGGUUACAACUGGACUGCGUGAGCAGUAAACAGGAGGUGAUGCAGAGUCCGGAAGCUCUGAAUGUCCAAGAGGGAGACAGCGUGGUUCUCAACUGCAGUUACACCGGUAGCACUUUUUAUUCCCUUCAGUGGUUUAGGCAGGACCCUGGCAAAGGACUCACAGUUCUGUUGUUGAUUCAGUCAGCUCAGAGAGAAGAAACAAGUGGAAGAAUUAAAGCCUCACUGGAUAAACCGUCAAAACACAGUGCUUUAUACAUUGCAGCUUCUCAGCCCACCGACUCGGCCACCUACCUCUGUGCUAUAGAGGCACAGUGCACAACAGGCUCCUGGCACCAAUACCCAAACUCUGCAGCUGGGGCUCCACCCACGUGCCCUAUCUUGAAGCUGAGGAAUCUUUCUCCAUCGAGGGGCUUUCUAAAUUGACUCUUUUCCCAGAUAGAAGCAAUUAACUAUGCAAAACCUGAUCUAUAUAUGUACACACACAUAUGUAUGUGUAUAUAUGCACAUCUAUGCAUAUGUAUACAUAUAUAUGCACAUAUACGUAUCUGCACAUAUGUAUCUGAAGUUACAUUUGAUCUUUAGAUUUUUAUCAACUUCAACUUCAAUAAUAGCUUUGUUGAGAUUAAUUCACAGGCCAAACAAUUCAUUCUUUUAAAAUGAAUAAUUAAGUGGCAUCUAGUACAUCCACUAUGUUGUACAACCACCACCUCUAUCUAGUUUCAAAACCUUGUCAUCACCCGGAAAGGAAACCACAUACCCAUUAAGCAGUUGCUUACCAUUCUCCCCUCCCCCAACCCCUGGUCACCUGCAGUCUGUCUCUAUGGGUUUAUUUAUUCUGUUCAUUUCACAUUAAUGGAAGUGUACAGCCCUUCAUACUUGGCUUCUUUCACUUAGCACCGUGUUCUGGAAGCCCAUCCAACACGAGACCAACUGCAAAAAGGCAGAUAUUCACCCCUAACCAAUCACAUAGGGU